UAAAAAAAAUCGACAUAGUUGCUGUUUCGCGGUGACAUUCGUCGGAAAUUGGGUCAUCUUAAACCUUUUGGUUUUAAGCGGCUUAAAAUUUUCUUUACCGAUUUUACGAACGUUUCUAAGAUUUAUUUCUUACACGUUUAAGGUAUCGAUCUUUAUUAGACGUGGCCGUCGCAUCGGAUCGCGUCCAUAAUCUUUCGUUAA
rnacentral:misc_RNA from 1 species